CGCUGCCAAAAUCACAGAAAGAAUAAAGUUAAAAGUACAUUUCAUUUGUUAAAAUUCUAUUAUGGUAUCUGAGAAAUUGCAUAAAGACGUCAGUUCAUGGGAUGUGUGAUUCAUAUCAUUUAAAAUUAUUUAUUUGUGUUCUACAUUCAUCAAUUUAACGAAAAAUAGGUUUAACAGGUACUAGAAGAAGCUGAUUUGAAAUUAUUAAUGUCAUCCAGCGUCGAGUAGAAGUGAUAGCCACGAGAUGGACACAGAAAUUGGCAGCAUAGCAUUUACGUUAUGUGUGUUAUAAUAAAGAUAUAUUGCUCUUUUAUUUAAGCAUGAAUGUACGAAUUGUAUACUUAUUUUAUUGUGAUUUCCCUUCAUACCAAUUAUGUGUAGAAAUAUUGAUAAAGAAUGUUUGUUUGUUGUUCGACAAAGUGAGGUUGACAAUUGGUGCAAGUUUACGAAGUUUGAUAAGUACGAGUUUACGAAGUUUGUAGAGCUCAAGUUUACGAGGUUUGUUAGUACUUACAACAUUUUAUUUUCAAAUGCUUAUUAUAAAUUAAUAAAUAUGUUAAACAUUAACAAAAUUAAUACACAAAUAAAAGGACAAAUAAUUGCUUUCUGUAAUUAUUGGUUCUUAAAACAUAAAUGAAAAAUCGAUGUGAUCGAUAAACACGCAUAAAAAGCAGUCGAUUUCGGAACGUCUAUGUCUUUGACAUAUGACAUUAAAGGAUUGAAAAUAUUGUUACCGGCGAAAUAUGUAUAUAAAUAAAAGUGAAAUUACUUGUUGAUUACCUGAAAAUAUGACGGGGAGUCCGUUUCUACACAGGGAGGUAGUACCAGGAUAAAUCUACGCUAAUUCUAGCCACUGUGGUCCCAAUGCAGACAUUCGGUUUUAUGGCUCAUUGGGAAGCAGGCACAGCAAAGAGGUUUGGGGUUUAAUCCCUAGCAAGGACGCCCUUGUGGCGAUAUGAACGCCCUUGGGGCAAAAUGUUGAAAGACUCGAUCUUGAGAUGCCAGUCAUGCUGACCAGUGUGGAGGCAACGAGGACAGCGGUUAGAGAAAGGCUCUAACAGUCAUUCCAUACAUGCAGUGUAGCCACUGCUAACCAAAG